rnacentral:rRNA from 1 species
GAUGAACGCUGGCGGCGUGCCUAAUACAUGCAAGUCGAGCGCACGGACGCUAAGCUUUCUUCUCUUAUGUUAGCGGCGGACGGGUGAGUAACACGUGGAUAACCUACCUAUAAGUCUGGGAUAACUUCGGGAAACCGGAGCUAAUACCGGAUAAUAUUUUGAACCGCAUUGUUCAAAAGUGAAAGACGGUCUUGCUGUCACUUAUAGAUGCAUCCGCGCUGCAUUAGCUAGUUGGUAAGGUAACGGCUUACCAAGGCAACGAUGCAUAGCCGACCUGAGAGGGUGAUAGGCCACACGGGAAAUGAGACACGGGCCAGAGUCCAAAGGGAGGCAGCAGUAGGGAAUCGUGCGCAAUGGGCGAAAGGCGGAAGGAGCAACGACGCGUGAGUGAUGAAGGACUGAGGAUCGUAAAACGCAGUUAUUAGGGAAGAACAGAUGUGUAAGUAACGGGGCAUAUCGUGACGGUACCGAAUAAGAAAGCCACGGCUAACUACGUG